rnacentral:rRNA from 1 species
UACGGAGGGGGCUAGCGUUGUUCGGAAUUACUGGGCGUAAAGCGCGCGUAGGCGGACCUGCAAGUCGGGGGUGAAAGCCCGAGGCUCAACCUCGGAACUGCCUUCGAUACUGCGGGUCUCGAGUCCGGGAGAGGUGAGUGGAAUUCCUAGUGUAGAGGUGAAAUUCGUAGAUAUUAGGAAGAACACCAGUGGCGAAGGCGGCUCACUGGCUCGGUACUGACGCUGAGGCGACGAAAGCGUGGGGAGCAAACAGG